rnacentral:rRNA from 1 species
AGCGAACGCUGGCGGCAGGCUUAACACAUGCAAGUCGAGCGGGCGUAGCAAUACGUCAGCGGCAGACGGGUGAGUAACGCGUGGGAACGUACCUUUUGGUUCGGAACAACACAGGGAAACUUGUGCUAAUACCGGAUAAGCCCUUACGGGGAAAGAUUUAUCGCCGAAAGAUCGGCCCGCGUCUGAUUAGCUAGUUGGUGAGGUAACGGCUCACCAAGGCGACGAUCAGUAGCUGGUCUGAGAGGAUGAUCAGCCACAUUGGGACUGAGACACGGGCCCAAACUCCUACGGGAGGCACGCAGUGGGGAAUAUUGGACAAUGGGCGCAAGCCU